AUCUAAGUAGUUUAUUAAAAAUAUUGAUUUGUGGUGUCAAAGAUAUAAAAUUAUUUAUUUUAGAUC
rnacentral:tRNA from 1 species